GGUAUGGAGAAGCAUGACACCUAGAGACAUAUGAGAAAUUAGUGACCACUGCAUGAAUGGGAUGCGAAAAGAGUAGCAGGGCAGAAUGGAGGUAUACUGACAGAGCUGUAUGUGGGGUCAAUACAGGAAUAGCAGACAGAGCUGCAGGGCAGGAUGGAGGUGCAGUGACAGAGCUGUGUGUGGGGUCAGUACAGGAAUAGCAGAGAGCUGCAUGGCAGGAUGGAGGUGCAGUGACAGAGCUGUAUGUGGGGUCAAUACAGGAAUAGCAGAGAGUGCUGCAGGGCAGGAUGGAGGUGCAGUGACAGAGCUGUGUGUGGGGUCAGUACAGGAAUAGCAGAGAGAGCUGCAGGGCAGGAUGGAGGUGCAGUGACAGCUGUGUGUGGGGGGGGGAGUCAGUACAGGAAUAGCAGAGAGAGCUGCAGUGCAGGAUGGAGGUGUAGUGACAGAGCUGUGUGUGGGGGGUCAGUACAGGAAUAGCAGAGAGAGCUGCAGGGCAGGAUGGAGCUGCAGUGCAGGAUGGAGGUGUAGUGACAGAGCUGUGUGUGGGGGGUCAGUACAAGAAUAGCAGAGAGAGCUGCAGGGCAGGAUGGAGCUGCAGUGACAGCUGUGGGUGGGGGUCAGUACAGGAAUAACAGAGAGAGCUGCAGGGCAGGAUGGAGGUGUAGCGACAGAGCUGUGUGUGGGGGGUCAGUACAGGAAUAGCAGAGAGCUGCAGGGCAGGAUGGAGCUGCAGUGACAGAGCUGUGUGUGGGGUCAGUACAGGAAUAGCAGAGAGAGCUGCAGGGCAGGAUGGAGGUGUAGUGACAGAGCUCUGUGAGGGGUCAGUACAGGAAUAGCAGAGAGAGCUGCAGAGUAGGAUGGAGGUGCAGUGACAGAGCUGUGUGUGGGGUCAGUACAGGAAUAGCA